GAUUAGUGACAGAGUGAGGGAGGGGGUGACUAGUGACAGUGAGGGAGUGGGUGACAGUGACAGAGUUAGGGAGGGAGUGACUAGUGACAGUCACUCCCUCCCUCUGUCACUAGUCACUCCCUCCCUCUGUCACUAGUCACUCC
rnacentral:miRNA from 1 species